rnacentral:rRNA from 1 species
UACGUAGGUGGCAAGCGUUGUCCGGAUUUACUGGGCGUAAAGGGCAGGCAGGCGGAUGGUUAAGUAGAAAGUGAAAGGUCGGAGCUCAACUCCAACAUUGCUUUCUAUACUGGCUAUCUUGAGUCCCGGAGAGGAAAGCGGAACGACACGUGUAGCGGUGAAAUGCGUUGAUAUGUGUCGGAACACCAAUGGCGAAGGCAGCUUUCUGGACGGGUACUGACGCUCAUCUGCGAAAGCCGAGGUAGCGAACAGG